CUUGGUCAUUUAGAGGAAGUAAAAGUCGUAACAAGGUCUCCGUAGGUGAACCUGCGGAGGGAUCAUUAACGAACGAUCAUAAUUGAUCUUCCUACCCUUCAACCACCGUGGACACAAGUUGUGCUUCGGCGUCAUCUUGACGCCGUCUUUAUGCUUGAAAAGCCCUUUAAUGUCUGAAUGAAUGAAAAGUCAAAACUUUCAACAAAGGAUCUCUUGGCUCUCGCAUCGAUGAAGAACGUAGCAAAGCGCGAAAUGUAGUGUGAAUUGCAGAACAUUGUGAAUCAUCGAAUCUUUGAACGCACAUUGCACCUCCCGCAGGGGAGGUAUGCCUGUCUGAGCGUCAUUAAACUCAAUAAACCCCCUUGGUGGGGUUUGUGUUGGGCCCUGCAUGGAAGUGCACUGCCUCAAAUUCAUGGUCUAACCUGCGGACGAGCUCCUCUUGGACGUGCCGUUGGAUGGCCCUUUCUUUGAAUUUGACCUCAGAUCAGGUAGGAAGACCGCCUGAACUUAAGCAUAUCAAUAAGGCGAGGAACAGAAMCCACCGGGAUUCCCCCAGUAGUGGCGAAUGAAGUGGGAAAAGCUCAAGUUGAAUCUGGCUUCAGUCAGAGUUGUAAGCUGAAGAGGCUUCGACCGAUGUGGCUUGGGCUCAAUUCCCUUGGGAUAGGGAGUCAUGGAGGGUGAGAACCCCGUCUGUGGGCCCUUUGGCCUGCAUCCUUGUGUCGUUUCCUCGAAGAGUCGGGUUGUUUGGGAAUGCAGCUCAAAAUGGGUGGUAAAUUUCAUCUAAAGCUAAAUAUUGGCGAGAGACCGAUAGCAAACAAGUAGAGUAAUCGAAAGAUGAAAAGUACUUUGAGAAGAGAGUGAAACAGUGCGUGAAAUUGUUGAAAGGGAACCGUUUGGUAUCAGCCCAUGGCUGUCCUUGAUCAUCCAGGCUUCUGUCUGGUGCACUCGGGGGCGGCUGGGCCAGCGUCGACUCUGCCCGCCGGAGAAAGGCCUGAGGAAUGUGGCUCUUUGGAGUGUUAUAGCCUCAGGUGUCAUGCGGGGUGGCGGGGUCGAGGUCUGCGGUCUUCCUAGGACGCUGGCGUAAUGGUCCCAAGCGACCCGUCUUGAAACACGGACC
rnacentral:rRNA from 1 species